CCUACGGGUGGCUGCAGUGGGGAAUAUUGGACAAUGGUCGAAAGCCUGAUCCAGCCAUGCCGCGUGUGUGAAGAAGGCCUUCGGGUUGUAAAGCACUUUCAGUGGGGAAGAAAGCCUUGGGGCUAAUACCCUCGAGGAAGGACAUCACCCACAGAAGAAGCACCGGCUAACUCCGUGCCAGCAGCCGCGGUAAUACGGAGGGUGCGAGCGUUAAUCGGAAUUACUGGGCGUAAAGCGCGCGUAGGCGGUCUGAUAAGCCGGUUGUGAAAGCCCCGGGCUCAACCUGGGAACGGCAUCCGGAACUGUCAGGCUAGAGUGCAGGAGAGGAAGGUAGAAUUCCCGGUGUAGCAGUGAAAUGCGUAGAGAUCGGGAGGAAUACCAGUGGCGAAGGCGGCCUUCUGGACUGACACUGACGCUGAGGUGCGAAAGCGUGGGUAGCAAACAGGAUUAGAUACCCCAGUAGUC
rnacentral:rRNA from 1 species